rnacentral:rRNA from 1 species
GAUGAACGCUAGCGACAGGCCUAACACAUGCAAGUCGAGGGGCAGCACUUCGGGUGGCGACCGGCGCACGGGUGAGUAACGCGUAUGCAACCUACCCAUAUCAGGGGGAUAGCCUCCCGAAAGGGAGAUUAAGACCGCAUAAGAUUGUAGUAAAGCAUUUUACAGCAAUUAAAUAUUCAUAGGAUAUGGAUGGGCAUGCGUUUCAUUAGCUUGUUGGUAAGGUAACGGCUUACCAAGGCAACGAUGAAUAGGGGUUCUGAGAGGAAGGUCCCCCACACUGGGACUGAGACACGGACCAGACGCCUACGGGAGGCAGCAGUGAGGAAUAUUGGUCAAUGGACGAGAGUUUGAACCAGCCAAGUCGCGUGAAGGAAGAAUGCGUUAUGCGUUGUAAACUUCUUUUGUCAGGGAAUAAAAAGCGGGACGAGUCCCUAAUUGCAAGUACCUGAAGAAUAAGCAUCGGCUAACUCCGUGCCAGCAGCCGCGGUAA